rnacentral:rRNA from 1 species
GAUGAACGCUGGCGGCGUGCCUAAUACAUGCAAGUCGAGCGAACGGACGAGAAGCUUGCUUUUCUGAUGUUAGCGGCGGACGGGUGAGUAACACGUGGAUAACCUACCUAUAAGACUGGGAUAACUUCGGGAAACCGGCGCUAAUACCGGAUAAUAUUUUGAACCGCAUGGUUCAAAAGUGAAAGACGGUCUUGCUGUCACUUAUAGAUGGAUCCGCGCUGCAUUAGCUAGUUGGUAAGGUAACGGCUUACCAAGGCAACGAUGCAUAGCCGACCUGAGAGGGGGAUCGGCCACACUGGAACUGAGACACGGUCCAGACUCCUACGGGAGGCAGCAGUAGGGAAUCUGACGCAGUGGGCGAAAGCCUGACGGAGCAACGCCGCGUGAGUGAUGAAGGUCUUCGGAGCGUAAAACUCUGUUAUUAGGGAAGAACAUAUGUGUAAGUAACUGUGCACAGCUUGACGGUACCUAAUCAGAAAGCCACGGCUAACUACGUG